UGCUGCAGGGCUGCGAAGCACCGAUCAGCAGCUGGCGGCUCGAUCAGCUGGCAUGACUUGUUACAAUUUGCAACAAAGCAGACGGCACGUAACAUAGAGUGACAUUUGAUUACAGCACUAGUGGCAUGCUUCGAAUGAGAGACAAAGAGGGCAAAAUCUCACCCCUCGCCCCCGGCCAACGACCGGGAUUUUUCGUUUGCAGUGUCUGGAUUAUUACGCUGGGCUAAGUUUGUGCGCGCUAUAGGUGACCAUUUGGUUUUCCUGCUAUUUGCCGUCCACACGGGAGCACCGGGAAAAACGCGUCCGCACCUUGAUACUUUAACACAUCGUCACCUAUGAAAUAUGUCUGGGCGGGUGUGUGUGUGCUGUAUGUGUGUCGGUACUUGGCAUUAAAUUAACACAAAUGCCAAAACAGCAGCAGCCGCAGCAGCAAGUGGCUGGUUGUGCGAGGCCCAACCGGACGCACAUCCAGGGUGGCCACAGUCCUGCAGGCAGGACUGCCACGGGCUCUCCUCUGUUUGAGCUUGCAUUUAAUGCAUUUGCAGCAGCAGCAGCAGCAGGACCACAAAUCGGCCAAUCCAUCUAAGCAGGCAGACACCAACAGCCAGCAGCCCACACGAUACGAAUACUCCCCUUCCGCACAUGCGGACUUCCGGCGUUCAGAUACGUUGUGUUUGUUUAAAGAAAAUAGCAAAUAACGAUCCGACGGGCAACCUUUAAAUAUUCGAUGACCCAUACUUCGCCCUCUCUCCACCCUCUGGGCUGGCCAGCUAACGACCCACAUGACAACCACUAAUCUGCACUUGUAUGGACAUUAUAUUGACAUUUGUAAUUUCCGGUCGAUGCGAUGCCGUUUUUAUGACCCCGCUUAGAACGCAUAAAAGAAAAUUUGCAACAAUAGGGCUUUCAACAAUAAGCCCGAAUCGCACUGACUGCUGACCGGAAAAGGAACAGAGGCUGCCACCAGAAGAAGGGUUCGGCUUGAACUCCAGCACGGGUGUCAGCCACUGGGUCUUACAAAGGGCCAACACUUCAGCUCGCUCACUAUUAGAGCGGGGACUCCCACUCCUAGAGUGGAGCUCAUUCGGGGUGCUCUGGCAGCAAUUCGAGCUCGCAUAAAAAGCCGAGUUUUAUUCCGAGCGGCCCAGAGUCAAUGCCAAUGUGUCGGCGUCUGAUGAGCCCCACCGAAAAAGGGGUUGACAGGCGCACACCGUCACAUUCAUCCUAAGCAAAUAUACUGGAAAAUAUGUUGGCAUGCCACAUUUGCUUAGCUUGAGAAAAUGUUUAGCUUAUUGCCUUAUUAAGUCAAUAAAACUGUCAAGUAUUUAAAGGCAAAACGGCAAGUGCUCAUGAAAUUAUGGCCAGCCCAGCACUUGCCAACAAGUGCCAACCAGGAUACACACACACACGCACGUGUCCUAAAGGUGUAAUUCAAUGUGUGUGGGUGUGUGUGUUUGUGCCAGGAUACACCUGUGUGUGGCUUUAAAGCAAUUAUCCAAAUUGCACUUCAAAUUGAACCUCUCUGCUCCCCUUGAGGCAUUUUGGGUCGCAAUCUCCCAGAUUUCCAUUAAAAAGGAAAUUGAAAUUUACAAGUUUCGUGCACUUCUUUUUUAGGGCCAAAACAAUGAAAAUUCUAUAUACGGCCACUACUUAUACACAUUUGGGCAUAUAUAUUGCUAUAUCUGUGAAUAGUUCGAGAAAACUGUAAGCAGAUGAGUAGAGGGAAAUAGGAAUAGAAAAAGUCUACCACAACGAAACUAAGUUACAUAAAAUACAUACUCCAAAUUUCAGUGAAAUAUUCGGGUUUUAAAUAUAGGGAAACAGUAAAAUUAAAAGGCAGUCACUUGGAUUGGCCAAUAAUUAUUGGCUGCUCCGAAUAAUAAAUAUAAACCACUUGCAAGUAAAUAUUACAUAAAUUUGUAGGAAUUAUUUUCAUAUUAAUGCCGAACUGUAAGUGGAAACACUUGCAUUUCAAUAUUUCCACUCUCGGUGCAAAUACAUAUAAUGCUUAUUUGUAGUACGUUAAAGUCCGUGCCUUGACGAAAGAAUCACAUUUUUUAAAUACUAGUAUAUGAUUCGAAUUAAGGAUACAUUUCGAAGUUCCCUUUCUUUAUACAAGAGGCGAAGAGAUAUACUUGGUGGUGAGAACUAGCGUGUGUUCUUCUUAAUUUUCAUUUCAGUUAUAAACUUGAAAUGUUUUCUACAACUUUAGCUGGUCAAGUAACUCUAACAGCAAAGAAAUAAAUACUUUCGCUCAAGCUAUGAGUAAGUGUUAAAAACAGUAGUUACAGGUGAUCCAAGCUCAGCAACGGCUGGAGCUGUAUGAAACAUUAGUUCAAAACGACGAAGGCUAAUGGAAAUAAUAGAUGACACAAUCUACGGUUAAGUCUUAGUUUUAAAAUUUAAGCAAUAACUAAGCAAUAAUUUAAGGUAGGCGUAGAUGAAAUGGAUGCCACCGACAACCAACGAUUACUUCGGGAAUACAUCAUUGUUUGCUAUUUCAAAUGUUAAUGAGACUAGCUGUAUGUUCCAUUCAAUCAUAGAAGUAUUUUUAGCCCGGAAUAAAUAGAAAAAAUAGUUUUAGAAAACUUAAUUGGCCAGACUGUCCGCCCCUAUACCAAGGCCACAAGACAAAAGACCUUUUUUUGUGGGGUCAUAGGUCGGAGGUGUAAGGGCAAACAGCAUUUGAGUGCUUGCUUCAUUUGGCCCAGGUGGAAAAGUCAAUACUGCGGCUGUUGUUGGAAAAUAUUAACUGUCUCUGGUUUCAGGUCUGCCUGCUUCCAGCCCCAGGCGCUUCCGGGUGCGGUCGGUCUGCCCCGGAUCGACCCCAGCACGGGAUCUGGAUAAAGCCAUGAAGAAGGAGCCAGAGUCCUGCCUGGCACGAGUAUUCAUUGGAGGGCCAGGCAGGACGAACCGGACCGGGCUGGGCUGGGCCGGGAUGUAGGAGCUACUUAGCAAACAUCAACACCUGUUAAGAGUUACACUCGAGAACAAAGCUGCAAAUUGGCUGGCGGACGCAAGCAACGAGAGAGACAGCUAUAUAAGGAGAGAGAAAACGAAAACGGGAACGGGAACAGGACAGGGAGAGGGAGCUAUGACGAUGGAAAUUUUGCUGACCGCAGGUAAUGGCGAUGUUCCGGGCCAUGACGACGCCAUGGUAAUGUUAGCACAAAGCACGGCAAGGAAGGACGGGGGGCCUUAAACUUCAUUAUGAGAUUUGUGUAAUUGUUAACCAAUUUACCGUUACGUUUUGCAUGCCACAAGCCACAGCAGCAGCAGCUGCAACAAAUCCAUUCCAACUGUGCUGCCACUCGCCCUUCAAGGCGAUAACGCUUGUGAUAUAUUGUUCAAAUUAUAAUACCGGAAAUGUUAUUAAUUCAAAAUGCUGCUCAAUUUCGUGCACUUUGUAGGCUGUUGCUGCUUUAGCUCCACGCUGUAGAUGU